rnacentral:rRNA from 1 species
UAUUGGUCAAUGGGCGCGAGCCUGAACCAGCCAAGUAGCGUGAAGGAUGACGGCCCUAUGGGUUGUAAAAUUCUUUUAUAUCGGAAUAAAAUUUUACACGUGUGGAAUUUUGUAUGUACCAUAUGAAUACGGAUCGGCUAACUCCGUGCCAGCAGCCGCGGUAAUACGGAGGAUCCGAGCGUUAUCCGGAUUUAUUGGGUUUAAAGGGAGCGUAGGUGGACAGUUAAGUCAGUUGUGAAAGUUUGCGGCUCAACCGUAAAAUUGCAGUUGAUACUGGCUGUCUUGAGUACAGUAGAGGUGAGCGGAAUUCGUGGUGUAGCGGUGAAAUGCUUAGAUAUCACGAAGAACUCCGAUUGCGAAGGCAGCUCACUGGACUGUUGACUGACACUGAGGCUCGAAAGUGUGGGUAUCAA